UACGUAGGGGGCAAGCGUUAAUCGGAAUUACUGGGCGUAAAGCGUGCGCAGGCGGCUUUGCAAGACAGAUGUGAAAUCCCCGGGCUCAACCUGGGAACUGCAUUUGUGACUGCAUCGCUCGAGUGCGGCAGAGGGGGAUGGAAUUCCGCGUGUAGCAGUGAAAUGCGUAGAUAUGCGGAGGAACACCGAUGGCGAAGGCAAUCCCCUGGGCCUGCGCUGACGCUCAUGCACGAAAGCGUGGGGAGCAAACAGG
rnacentral:rRNA from 1 species